UACGGAGGGAGCUAGCGUUGUUCGGAAUUACUGGGCGUAAAGCGCACGUAGGCGGCUUUUUAAGUCAGGGGUGAAAUCCCGGAGCUCAACUCCGGAACUGCACUUGAAACUGGGAAGCUAGAAUCUUGGAGAGGCGAGUGGAAUUCCGAGUGUAGAGGUGAAAUUCGUAGAUAUUCGGAAGAACACCAGUGGCGAAGGCGACUCGCUGGACAAGUAUUGACGCUGAGGUGCGAAAGCGUGGGGAGCAAACAGG
rnacentral:rRNA from 1 species